GAGCAAAACGGACACGCUCCGUCCUGCGUUCGUUACUUCCGCUAUAGUAUCAUUAUAUAUUCUCUAACGGCCGCAUUGUGUUGAUCUGUCCAAAUUAUUAUCAUGGAACCGGUUGACACUAAAAUUCGCACACAGAGACACGCAUUUACGAAACGUUGUCUCACCAAUGGCUUAGCCAUUGUAGUUACGGAACAUCUACAUCAUGCCAACAUGGUAAAAAUGACGGACAGAUUGCAACAUCCGGACAUACUCAAUACAGAGGAAUCUAAUGUGUCUCGACUCGAAAUUAUGUAAAUAACUUAUACACGGCUGAAGAAAGACAAAGAAAAGAACGGUAACGGUAACAAGUUACUUUUAUAAAGUAACUUUGCCAACCCUGAAAUA